ensembl:snoRNA
UUGCCACCAUGGUCUCUAGCACUGGGCUCUGACCUACCCUGAGGAUGGGGUGUCCCUGGGACUCCGACACCUAGGGAUCUGAGAGGUCC